ensembl:lncRNA
CAGGGAUCCCAGUGGUGCCUCCAGAAUGUAAGACCGAGGGCCUUACCAGAUGCUCCAAGGAGCUGACUGCGGCGAAGAACACCCAGGAAGGAACACACCGGACAAGUUGGAAAGUGAAACAGACCUUAGUCUGGCCAGACGGCACUCCCAAAGCAAAGUAGUUUAGAGAGGCGUCAGUCCAGAGUCUGAGGCUCUUUUUAUAGGAGCUUGCAGGGAAGUUAACAGGUGAAAUUUACAGAAGAAGGAACAAAGAAGAACACAGCAAGCUCCUAUUUCCCAGAGAAGGAAGUGAAGCUUUAUGGAAGAAUCCAGUCAGACUCUUGGAAGCAACCUUGUCAAAGCUUUGGCUGGUCUUUGGCACCCUGAAACCUUCUCCUCCAUGGUCCAGACUCCUCUCAGGACUUCAAUAU